rnacentral:lncRNA from 1 species
CAAAUAGCGUAAUGUUCAGCCUCCGAUAUCGUGCUGUAACRGGGAUUAAACUCACCGUGCAGAGCUAUUACUGGGACCUCUCUGCAGAGUUUAGCAUGGUUGACCAUGAAAUCCUCCUGUCCAACAUGAGCUAGGUGGCAGGAGUCCAAGGUACUGUACUACCCUAGUCUGGGCCUUUCCUGAAGUGAUUCCUACCCACUUGAUUCUUCACUGCUGAAAACCUGCAAAAAUCAAUUCUCUCUUGUCUCCUUUUCUAGUAAUGGAAUUCAACCUCAUUGGCAGCUGGACUCAAGACCCUAGCAAUUUGCAGAUGAUACCCAGCCAUGUGUAUUUGUUACCAUCUAUGACUACUACAUCAUCAGCUCUGCUACUGCAAAGUUUGCUCCUUAUCAGAUACCAGUCACCAUCCUUGGACAGACCCUUGCAACUCAGUGCCUUCACAGGGAGUCAAGAUGGCUUUAACUGGCUGUGAUGCUUUUGGUUUGCGUGACCUGACAAAAAGCUGUGUCACGUCAAUUUAUAGACUGGUGGGAUGCCACUGUAUUGAGAUCAUCGUGUUCAGUUUGGUGCAAGUUACUCAGUGUCUUGCCACGGCUUUUCUGAGCAGACAUCCUGCAGAUAUCUGGUUCUCACAGCACAGCGGCAUUCUUUCCCUGGCAAGGAAGAGAGCUGGAAGGCUGGUUCUGCACAUCUGGCAGAAGGCAAAUGUCUUUGGACAAGAUUUUGUAGAAGAAAACCAUGUCCAUGGUGAGGAGUAUCUGGAUAUAAAUUUGGAAUAUGUGUAGACUGAGAGCACAAAACUUCUUUGUGGGAUAAAACUGCUUGAUACACAAAUAGCACUGAGUAUUUUGACUGAAGCUUGUUAUUUUGUCUGCUUCACAAAAACUCAGCAACUGUUCCCAGAUAGCUAUAAUGGAAUUUUUCUUAGCUGUGUAUAUGAAGUUUCAGUUGCUGUGCAGCAUCUUAAUACAAGCCUCUAAAAGCUAUGUUAAACAUUUAAAGUGCACUUAAUCAUCUGCCAGAAAUGUACAAAGGCAUAAUAUCUCAUUAAUAAUUAUUAAAUCAUUGAGUYGUGCAGAGAGAGAUGUUCCGUCUUAACUUGCAUAGUGGUAAAACACAGGUCAUUUACCAAGCAUGCAAUAGCACAUCAGAUAUUGGACUUCUGUUGAAAGGAAAUAACAGAGCUUUAUUAGAGGAUAUGUCUUAGUAAAGGAAGCAAGUACAUGGUGAUUGAAACAAUGUUCAGCCAUAGCAAACAAUCUAGUUUCUAUACUCC